rnacentral:rRNA from 1 species
AUUGAACGCUGGCGGCAGGCCUAACACAUGCAAGUCGAGCGGAUGAAGGGAGCUUGCUCCUGGAUUCCGCGGCGGACGGGUGAGUAAUGCCUAGGAAUCUGCCUGGUAGUGGGGGAUAACGUCCGGAAACGGGCGCUAAUACCGCAUACGUCCUGAGGGAGAAAGUGGGGGAUCUUCGGACCUCACGCUAUCAGAUGAGCCUAGGUCGGAGUAGCUAGUUGGUGGGGUAAAGGCCUACCAAGGCGACGAUCCGUAACUGGUCUGAGAGGAUGAUCGGUCACACUGGAACUGAGACACGGUCCAGACUCCUACGGGAGGCAGCAGUGGGGAAUGUUGGACAAUGGGCGAAAGCCUGAUCCAGCCAUGCCGCGUGUGUGAAGAAGGUCUUCGGAUUGUAAAGCACUUUAAGUUGGGAGGAAGGGCAGUAAGUUAAUACCUUGCUGUUUUGACGUUACCAACAGAAUAAGCACCGGCUAACUUCGUG